CGAAGCUUUGCUAAUAGUUACUUUUGUCACCAGUCACUAUAAGGCUGAAUACAGGAAGUAUGGGAGAAACAGAAAUCAGGAAGUAGUGUAUACAGUGAUACGCUUACUGUUUCUCAGGCUGACUGUCUUACUGCUACAGGUGUCUUGCCUUCACCGGUCUUUGACAUACUCACUCCCAGCCAAAAGGUGCCUAAUCCUUUAAAUAUUCUUGCAGUUGGUGGAAAGAACUUGGAUAUAAACCUCUCGACGAGAGUUUAAAAGAAAAAAGAAAACAUAAAAACACAAGCAAAACAGAAAAAAAAAAAUUUAAGAAGGAAAGGUGACAACAGCCCUGAAGACAUGGUGAAAAAAAAAUGAAAAAACUAUUUUAAAUAAGAGUCAACUGGAAAAUAAAAAACCUUACAAAUUGCAAAUAAUGGCAUCAAGAGGU